rnacentral:misc_RNA from 1 species
AAGUCGUAACAAGGUUUCCGUAGGUGAACCUGCGGAAGGAUCAUUAACACGUUAUCCACGUAUCAACCAACGCGAAUUGUUUUCACCCUCCCCUCCUGACCACGAACUGCGGGCCUGUAGAGCUGUAUGAUGGGGCCUUUGUGCCGGCUCUACUCGCCUCCGACUUCGCGUAGUUACCUACGUGAUGUGCUCCGAAAGGAGGAUUCGGCAGUUGUAUCUCAUCUGGAGGACUCCUCUCAUUGAUCUACCCCUAUCAUUGGUGUUUCAAUGGGAACUUAUUUACUAUAUUCACCCCUUUUUUGCUAGUUGACUUUUAUAUGUUGUAUCUUUGCUUCGGCAACGGUGCACACGUUUAAUUAUUUGAACGUUAAAAAUACAACUCUUAGCAAUGGAUAUCUUGGUUCUC